GGGAAUUUAGCACAGUGACAGAGAUAAUGCUUCAUAUACAAAUGGUCCCGGGUUCAAUUCCCAGCAUUUCCC